AUAAUGCAUGUGGUACGGUUAAUGUGUAAACGAAGAGGCUAGCUCUUCUGUAUCAAAAAUAAAACACAUACAUUGGUUGCUGCAACGUUUUUUCGAUGGCGACAGUGGAACCCAAACUCAUCCUUUUAUUUAGUGGGAAACACAAAUCUGGAAAAUAUUACGUGAGGGAUUUGAUUCACAAAAGGACCAUGGAUUGGACUUUGAGGAGCUGUUGGGGGCAGGGGAGUACAAGGAGAAGUACCGUGCUGACAUGAUCCGUGGGGUGAGAAGCAGAGGGAGAAGGACCCAUGGUUCUUCUGUCGUGUGGCCAUCAAGGCAGCCCACCAGCCUAUCUGGAUUGUGAGUGACACAUGACAUCUAUCAGAUCUGCAGUGGUUCUGGAGGGAGUAUCCUAGUCAGUCUCGCUGUGUUCGGGUGGAGGACUCAGAAGAGACACUGAGGGAGAGGGGCUGGGAGUUCACAACAGGUGCAAUACCUACACUGAUAGUGAUAUGUUCCUCACUUUCGGAGAAAUACAAUACUUCAACACCACACCCUCUCUCUCUGCAGGAAUAGAUGGUCUGAAUGUGGGCUCGACCAAGGAGUAGAUUUUGAUUGGAUUACCCAUGGUAAAAUUAGUGCAAUACUGCAUUGCACACCCAUUCAACAAUUGAAAUGUACUAGACACAGACAUGAUCAAUGUUCUAAUAGCAGGGUAAGUGUUAGUAUGGUCCUUCUGUGGCUCAGUUGGUAGAGCAUGGCACUUGUAACGCCAGGGUAGUGGGUUCGAUUCCCGGGACCACCCAUACGUAGAAUGUAUGCACACAUGACUGUAAGUCGCUUUGGAUAAAAGCGUCAGCUAAAUGGCAUAUAUUAUUAUUAUUAGUUCAUAACAUUUUAAAGUAGACAUGGAGGUAGUAGCAGCACCUAAAUUGGAGUGGUAUCAAACUGAAAAAAAAAAACUAUACAAAAAUUGGAAUGUCAAU